UGUGUUUUGUGUUUGUGUGUGUAUCUGUGUGUGUGCGCGCUUCUAUUGAGAAAAAAACAAUCAGAAUGAAGAUGGAAAGCAGCCUGAAUCUUUCUUUGGAUGAUUUUCGAUUUUAGGUAAGAAAAAGUACUUAUUUGUAAGUUGUUAAUAUAACUCAUAAUUAACUGUUUUGUUUGUUCUUUGUGUGUGUGUAUUUUGUAUCGAAACAAACAACAACAUCUGAAUAAAGGGAAAAGCGGCCUGAAUAUUUCUUGGGAUGAUUUUCAAUUUCAGGUAAGAAAAAGUACUUAUUUUUAUGUUAUUAACAGAAUUCAUAAUUAACUACUGUAUAUUGUUGUGUGUGUUUCAUACUGAAACAAAACAAACAAACUGCAACAUCUGAAUGAAGGGGAAAGCAGCCUGUAUCUUUCUUGGGAUGAUUUUAGAUUUCAGAAGGAGACCACAAGAGAGGUGAACAAGGUUCAUGACGUGUUUAUUUACAGAUCUUAACAUUUGAGAAGCGAAGAUCCAUCAAAAGGGAUUCUCAGGAUGAUGAUGAUAAUGAUGAGGGAAAGAACCCUAAUUAAAUAGAAUAAUUCUAGCAGCAGGUGAUGGAGUCAGGAGUCGUGUUGAAACUUAAAGA